rnacentral:rRNA from 1 species
AUCGCAAGACCUCGCGCUAUUGGAGUGGCCGAUGUCCGAUUAGCUAGUUGGUGGGGUAAUGGCCUACCAAGGCGACGAUCGGUAGCUGGUCUGAGAGGAUGAUCAGCCACACUGGGACUGAGACACGGCCCAGACUCCUACGGGAGGCAGCAGUGGGGAAUUUUGGACAAUGGGCGCAAGCCUGAUCCAGCCAUGCCGCGUGAGUGAAGAAGGCCUUCGGGUUGUAAAGCUCUUUCGGCCGGAACGAAAUCGUCCGGGAUAAUACCCCGGAUGGAUGACGGUACCGGAAGAAGAAGCACCGGCUAACUACGUGCCAGCAGCCGCGGUAAUACGUAGGGUGCAGGCGUUAAUCGGAAUUACUGGGCGUAAAGCGUGCGCAGGCGGCUUCCUAAGUCAGAUGUGAAGUCCCCGGGCUUAACCUGGGAACUGCGUUUGAA